GGGCCCGUAGCUCAGCUUGGCAGAGCAGCUGGCUUUUAACCAGCCUGUCGGGGGUUCGAACGAGGGACGUCGUCGGCUCG
rnacentral:tRNA from 1 species